CCACCUGCUCCCAUUUAUGAUGGGGGCAAUAAUGUGUUAUAUAUUGCUAUAUAUCAUUAUAACAACCACAUUUACUUCCUUUGAAUAUUGAUGUAUAAUUUAUGAAUCAAUAAUAAUGUUGUCGAUUUUUGAUUGUAUGUAUUGAAAUAUACUGAAUACAUAUGUUUGUACAUAUAGUGUAAACCCUACAUUUUUCAUUUUAUUGGUAAAUAUGUUGUAUAUAAUUUUUUAUUUUGGCUUGGGUCUCUGGCUUGGCAAUUUUUCCUUUCUGGGUUCACCUAUAUGUGGGACUAGCUUGAGCCCGAAUUAGUUCUGGAGGUAAUGCGCAUCCUUCCCAAUAAGCCACUACAGCCCUUUUCCAUACAUCAGCCCAUUCACAUCCCUGUUCAGGGUCUCUCUCCCCUUCUUAUUAGUGAUUUUUUGUUUGUCUUAAUUCUUUAUUAUAUUUUGACUUCUACAAUAUAUGAUCUACUGCUUUUGCUUUCAUGUUUGAUUGCUUGGUUUGCCUUGAUCAGUCAGCUUGCGGUCAUGGUCCACGCCGCUCUGUGUAUGUGUGACUGUUUUGGUGCUGCUGGCUGGCAAUCGCUCUCUUUUAGUGCUCUGUGUUCCUCCCCUCUGCACUCAUACGUUUCCUUCCUUUUUUCCUUUUUCUCCAGAGUGCGGCUCUGCUGAUUGGCCGGUGUCAUCAUAUGACACGGCUGCUUCAGCGCUAAGGAGUGUGGGAAUUGUAGGCAUCUCAGCGACCAUGUGACCUCUGAGAUCCAAUCGCGAUGCACCCGCCUCCCCAACAGGCUAUAUAUAGCAUGAUAUGAUCAUUAUCUGUCUGCUACCAACAGGGUACUGACAGAUGUCUUUAUUCCUCUUAAAGAUAGGAGAUUAUCUGUGGACUUUUCAGCUGCAAUUGACUGGUCCUUGAUUUUUGCUGCAAACGACUAUCCUUUGACUUUCUAUCACCAGCUGAUGUUUGCUUGCACUCAGACUGUUCAUCUAGUUAAAUACUCCAUAUGAAUUGAGGCUCUUCAGUGCCCGUGUUAUUGUCUU